rnacentral:rRNA from 1 species
GACGAACCGUACGAACGUUAUUCGGAAUUAACUGGGCUUAAGGGUGCGUAAGGCUGCACGGAAGUUGGGUGUGAAAGCCCUCAGCUCAACUGAGGAAUUGCAUCCAAAACUGCCGUGCUUGAGGGAGACAGAGGUGAGCGGAACUCAAGGUGGAGCGGUGAAAUGCGUUGAUAUCUUGAGGAACACCGGUGGCGAAAGCGGCUCACUGGGUCUCUUCUGACGCUGAGGCACGAAAGCUAAGGUAGCAAACGGGAUUAGAUACCCGCGUA